rnacentral:misc_RNA from 1 species
AAGAAUGCGAUAUGCAAUGUGAAUUGCAGAACCACGAAUCAUCGGAUCUUUGAACGCAACUGGCGCUAGUAAAACUAGCAUACUUGUUUCAGUGUGCCUAAACACAUAAAACAAAAUAAAUGUGAGAGAAAUUCUCUCAUGAAGUAAAUGCUCCCUGCAGCAGUCACAUUUAUAUGUGAGCUAGUAGGAAGAUAAAAUGACUUUACAUGCACCUGAAAUCAAGUAAGAUGACCCGCUGGACUUAA